GGGUUCAUAGCUCAGUGGUAGAGCAUUCGAUUGCAGAUCGAGAGGUCAUUGGUUCAAAUCCGAUUGGGCCCU